CCAUCGUUCUCUCAGUGUCUAAGACCCAGUAGGAAUUCGUUUCGCAGCUGCUGAAACCCUUUGUUCGAUCACUUAGUCUUCUCCCUGUAAUCGUUAAACAUGGAAGCCGAACGUUCGUUUUUCAUGAUUAUUUUGAUCAUCAUGUUAGUCUUGGGGAUGUUUUACAUGAUUUUGAAAUCUGCUUUGGUUCCCAAGGAAGAUCAGUCGCAAUUUUUUUGGAACAAAAACCAAAUUACAGAGUAUCAAAAGAUUGGACCUUUACGUCCAUGAAAGGUUGGCAUUCUGGAUUGAAAAUUAUUUUCAUCUUUAAUUAAGUUCAAAAAGAUCUAUUUGCUUGGAUUUGAAAGUGAAUAAUAUGUGUGCAGUAUUCCUUCUUCGAUGAAACUCUUGGCUGUUACUAUAGUAUUACCUAACAGAAAAAUAAAUUCUUUAUCAGAAGUCACUCUUCGUUCCUCCGAAUCUAAUUUCUGGCUAACCAUCCAUGCCAAAAAAGUCUUGCAAGGCUGUCUCAAUUGUGCUAAGAUUUUUGAAGCUGCUGCAAAGUUGAUGAAAGAGAUGAGCUCAAAAGGUUUUCAAUAUUAUCUCAUUACAUACUCCUCCGUACUCAAGGAUAUCAGGAAAGUUGGCGAGGAAAAUAUACAUACACAUAUCUAACGCUAACUUGGAAAUGGUUCUUUGUCGAUUUGUAUGCCAAUUAGCUAGCGAAGCUUUACUUGCACAUAUAUUCGAGAGCCACUUGAAGCCAAUCAUCUAUAUGGACCUUCUUGCAUAUCGACAAGUGGGGGAUCCUGCACUUGAUGUGGAAAGAACCUACAGAGUGUAAUAGAGUGAAUAAUAAUCUGAUUGUCAGAUUUACGAUUCUGCUAAGUGUGCAUCUAUGGAACACAACUCGAAGAUGCUAGAGUUAUGUGUUGCUGAUCUAAAGGAUGUCUUUUGGAUCUUACAGAGGUGCAGUUGAGUUGGAGAUUAGGUUCUUUGUAAGCAAAUAGAAAUGGGUAUAUACAAAGAAAGAUCAAUUUUGUAGCAAAACCUUUUCUUCAGAUACCCAUUUGUCUUGCUCCAAAGAUAUUGAAAGAAUUGUAAGAAUGGAAUGGAAAUGUUUUUCUUUUUCCUUUACCGUUAAUAAGAACCUUAAACAAAAGUGCGUAAGUGUGAAACCAUGUGAUAUCCAUUUGACGCCUAAGUGGAACCUUACAAUUCAGUUUCAAACGCAAAUCGAGGGUUGAAAUGUAGGCAAGCCUUCCUUCAUUCCCUUAGCUCGGCUUGGCUUCGCUUGAAUACCAUAAACGAAUAAGAGACCUUACCCGGCUUCUCUUUAUUGCCAGUAUUUGUAUGCUUUAAUUCAUUCAUGAUCCUCUUAGCUCGGGGUAUUGAAAUCGAUCCCCCGCAGUUCGU